UCGGAUAUGGUGUAACGGCUAACAUUGCCGCCUCUCAAGUGUCUCGCGGCAGUUCGAGGUUCGAUUCCCCCGUAUCCGAA
rnacentral:tRNA from 1 species